UGGUGUAGUGGUAUCACGUCUGCUUUGCAUGCAGAAGGCCCCGGGUUCAAACCCCGG
rnacentral:tRNA from 1 species